ensembl:lncRNA LINC02665 long intergenic non-protein coding RNA 2665
GAGUUCACAGGAGGCUCUUCCCACGUAUUGACUACCUUUCUCCAGUGCUGUACCACGUACGGAUGGACAAUAAAAAUGCCACUAACCUCUCCUCUAUAUUUUUUCCAGGGAUAAUUCUGAUACAAAAAAAAAAAAAGCAUUGUUGGUAGCAUGCAUUGGGUGUUCAAUAAAUGUCACCAGUCAGGAAUAAAUGUCACCAGUCAAGAAUAAUCAUGAAGGAAAGACAGGAAAGUGGGUGCCUUGAGGAGGCUCUGGAAAAGAGAUAAGUGGGGCUAAUAGCACUGGCCCAGAGGCCAUGUAGUGGAGAACUUCCAAUCUCCCAGCACACCACCUGGGGGACGGUGCAUCCUCCUGGAAAGUGAACCACACACACAGCUCCACUGGAAACAGGAGACUUCCGCCAAACAUGAGACAAGGGGCCUGGAAUAUUUCAGUUGUGUCCUAUUAGGUGCUCCGCUAACAUUCUGCUUUCUCUUCUGAGCCGUCAAUACGCUGCCCCAGCACGGGUGGAAGAUGCCCCCUACACAUUUCAAGCCGACUAAUCACAGGGGAAGAAACACGGCUUGUUUUAACCGCUUUCUACGGGCUUCUUAUGCCUUCAGUCUGCGCGUUCCUGCAGAGUCACCUCUGAAGGGGGAACCAGAUUAUCCAAAGCUUCUGGCUCUCAUACCAGGUGGGCUUAUGUAAACUGUCUCAGGGUCCUCAUUCGUAAAUAAAGGACUUAAACUA